CCGGAGACCCAUAAUUUCCUACCACGACAUACAAUGGUUCGUUUAAUAGGAAUAAUAAAACUUUUUUCCUUUGUAAAUCGGAACUGCAUUACAGCCCGUUCCAAGCCAUGGCUUUAGCACAUCCUUGGAUGCUAACAUAACUUAAAAACAUUAAAUUUUUAUAACAUAGAUACAUAACAUAUUAGUAUUCAAUAGUACUAGCUAAGGUUACUUAACUUACCAAGUCUAUAGUUAAAAAUUUAAUGGCACAGAAUUGUUAUCGAUUUUGACUGUGUUUACAUCCUGAGCGGAGCAAGGAAUGUAUUUGUUUUAAAUUGAUAUUUAUUUUUUAUAAUUAUUUCUUUUUUUGUAUGAGUGUGAAC